GAUGUAUUCUUAUACAACUUUAAUCAACAUCAAAUUAUAUAUGCAGUCAAUAUACUGUAACAUGUUCAUGGAUGAUGUACUCACUAACUGAUCCUUGUGCUGGUGCAUCAGGUGGUGUAUUGAGGGUGGUGUAUGACGUAGACGUAUCAAUAAUAACAUCUGAGCUGUUAGAAAACAUCGUGGAGCUCUUUGUAAAUGAGGAGGUGGGAACAACAAUGACAGUUUGUGGAGUCAUGCUGGGACUGGGGGGCGGAGCUGAAAAUAACAGACAAGUGAACAUACCAACAAUUAAGAAAGUUAUUACUUUUGGGCAAACAAGGAUUUUCUCAAUAAGAAUAUUUAGAGAAUAAACUCACCAUCAGUGACUUUUAGAUUCACCUUUAUAUAUGAGUCAGGGCCAAAUCUCUCCAGUCCACAAUAGUAUAUAUUGGAGUCUGACUUUUGGAGAUUGCUGAAGGUCACGAACAAGGUUUUUCCUUCGUUAUGUAACUCUAUUCUGUUUUUAUUUUCAAUUUUUCCAUAUGCUGCUUUAAUGAUGAUGUGUCGGUCCUCCGUGCAUGGACUGUAACAAAAGUACUUGACAUUCUCUGUUACAUCAGCCCAAACGUUCCGGUCUGAGCAGCUGAUUGUCACACUUUCACCAACACGACGAUUUAUGUUCAGAGGCUUCAUCUGCACAACACUCAGACCUACAAGCAGAAAUAAAGGAGACAUUUUGCCUUUGUCAUAGUUCAUACGUACAUUUCCUUUGACGUUAGUUUUUACUAUUCAUGACGGCAAAUUUGAAAAAUAAAAUAAACCCCUAAUUGAAUUAUACAUGUUUCAAUCAACAGCUACAUCUUUUGUACGCAAGCUACAGUUUGUGUAAAUGCAGAAGAUACAGAAAAAAACUAACUCACCAGAAAGAAGACAAAAGUAAACAUAGAUUUUUAUCAUCGUGAAAGUGAGAGAGUGAGUGAACGAGUGUGUAGGAAUCAUCAGGUCAGUCAUCACCGUCUUCAUGUCCCUCCUUCACUUCCUCUUACUGUCUCCAGUUGAUGCUCUUCUUCCUCCUGCAACACACAAGCUGUUUCUCAUUUAGUGGCCGUGUUCCUCUAUUGACUCAGCCUCUGAUGUGGACGGGGGGGCGGGUGCUUCUACGAAAGGAAAUGGUCUGGCCUGUGAGGGACUUCCUGUUUGUGGUGGCAACUUUUCCUGUUGCUGCAGCAAGCUUGACAGUAAAGCUUUAUAUUUGAAAAAAUAUAUAAAAUACAGCCAGAUCAUAAUCUUCUCAUUUCAUUUAGGAAGAUUCUUUACCUCAAGAGCAUCAUACCUAUAGAUCAGGCUGAGAGAAGGACACAUUCUGGUCAUUUUAAAUGAAAUCCUAAUAAUCAUUUUCAUUAUAUAAAACAUACAUUUUACAAAUAGUCAAUAUGUGUGUUUUUGAAACAUGGAAUGUACCCAGUAAUAUUAGUAAAUUAAGAUAUCUGCGCAAAAUAUAUGCUUUUCCUGCACGCCCUCUCUGCAUGUCUCAGCUGGGCUCGGGCCGUGUCCCAAAGCGGUGGAUCCAAAACCUAGUUCAUGCUUCUGCGUUUUCAGAGAGACGCAAGGACACUCGCACUCAAGAGCCCGUUGGGCGUCUUUUCACCUCUUCUUGCGUUCUUGCGUGCGUCGACCCAUUUUUCUAGACUAGCGUCAAAAGCUACGCAAGACGUCACUCUUUUGGUCGUCUUCAACAAAAACACGUUACUCCACCUGUUGUUCUGGCGGUGAAUUGCUCUGCAACACACGCAAGACUUUAGAACCAUGAAUUGAAACGAGUGCGUUGACACGACUCUGUGUAAAGACGCAGAAGCAGAAGCAUGCGCCAGCCUUUAGAAGCAGUUUAGCCAAUCACUGAUUAAAGUCAAUGAGUGACACAUCCUUUCAGAGUCCUAAAAUCCAUUGAGUUGUGGGCAGAGCUCUUCACCGCCCUACGCGAGUCUCACACCAGUUAAAACAAGAGUGACCACGAGCAGUGUCCUUCCAAGAAGACCUGACCCGAACUCUGUACCAGAGAAAGGAGAGGUGGAUUUUAUAAGUAUAUUUGUAUUGUAUUUAAUAUUAUAUUUUUAUUAUAUUUAUACAAUAUAGUAGUUAUAUCAUAUUGUUUAUAUAUAGUUAUAUACUGUGUAUAUCUAUCAUUGUACUAAAUUGUUUGAAUAAGAUGUUAAAUACUUAACUGCGAAGUAAUAAUGAAGAAUAAUAAUUGUUUUGCAUUGAAUCAUACUGAGAUGUUUACUGAAACUGAAUGGCUGACCCUAACCCCCCCAAAAGACCCACCAGCUCUAAUAUGACAUCAGCUUUGCUACGGUUUGUUCCUUCUGUGUGUGUGUGUGUGUGUGUGUGUGUGUGUGUGGCUGCAAUCAGCUGGCAUCUGGGCUCCUCAUUGGUCCAUCAUCAAGCCCUCGUCACCGCCAGCUGAAUUAUCCCGGUUUCCGGUUGUCUCAUCGCCCGAUCGUCUCUUCACGUCUGUGGCAGAUAUACUCUCGCCCCGUUAGCCGGUAAUCUUGGUACCGUGUAACAUAACCUGUGUGAUUGUGUCAGUCCAGUACAUCUUCAUACCGCAUCGCCGCCCAGCCAGCACUUUUUACACUUCCUUGUCACUGCUUCCUCAACUGCAUCCAUGUACCCAUAAAAUAAAGCUUUUCUUUCCACCUAACCUGCCGUCUGUCUGCAUUUGGGUCAUUGGUAAACUGGCCGUGACAAGAUCAGGUUCAUAAUUUGUCUACUUGAACUCACGUUGAUCAGUUUCUGUUCAUAAUAACAAGUAUAAACGAUCUUUGAAACGGUCACAACCGCAGUAAGACAUUGAUCAACCUUUUAAAGUGUGAAAGUUAAGGCAGUAAAGUGACUUUUCACUGAUAACUACGGUCGGAAGUUAACAACGUAAAUAACAACCAAAAUCGUGGGCUGGAAGGCUGAAUUCUUUGACUCAGUUUGAAGGAGCAAAGGAACGAGACAGCUCGGACACAGACGAAGGGACGCGAUCCAACUACAACUGCAAUCUCUUGAGGACGCUGCCGCUACACACACACCUACUCGUACUCUCACUGACGCUCAGCCGCAAAGCAAACAGUUGUGGAGGGUGAAAAGAGACGAGACAGGAGACGGAGAUGCGUUGAGUCAGCUUUACUCUCCACUUCAAUAACACAAAACAACACGUGAGAACUACUGCGGACAUGCACGUUAACCUCACAUCAAAACACUUUCCCUUAAAGGUACAGUCCCCUGGUGAAUGUCUCUCCAACACAGUGUAAGAUUAUGUCAGUGUGCACAAAACCAGAUGCCAUUCACAUAAAGAAAAAAAACAUUUAUUCUGAAUUUGAAGAAAAGAAAAGUACACAAUCUAAAUGUAAAAGGCCGACAAUUUGACACUUACAACACAAAAACUAAGUGUGUAUGACACAAUGAAAGAUGAGCAUGUUAGCAGAUUGAGACGCACCAAUUCUAAAACAAAACGUUCUUCUGAGGUCCCAAACUUUACGUUUUCUUUCUGCCCUAAAACGUAAGUCAAGUUUAGAGCAAAUAAAAGGCCAUGACGAAGUGUUUUACCCACAGUCUUCAUCAUUGUUGCGUCACCAGCAGUAUUCAGGGUGGAUGUGUGUAAAUCUUAAGCCACCAAAGGCACCUGGACCUGAAGGCAUCCUCGGCCGAGCUCUUGUGGCUUGUGCAUAACAACUGGCAGAUGUGCUCAGUGAUAUUUAUAACAUUUGUAAUGGUAAAAAUAUGUUAUAACAUUGUUUUGUGCUAAAGCCGUGUCUCAAGUGUCCUGUAUUUGACCCGGACGUGCAAAGAGCAGCAUGAUACAAAAUGUUAGUUUGCAGCUGUGCCCUGAGAAGGGAGGGCGGUCGACUCGAUCUCAUAGAAGCUUCAAAACAUUCAUCAAGACUCUGUUUUAUCAGACAAAUCAUUCUCUUCUACCGAGCUUUUAUUGAAAUAUUCCACAACACAUUUCACUGUAUUCCCCCACAUUCUCCAAAAAGACCACCAUAGUCCCUGUCCCCCAAAAGAGCAAACCCCACUGCCCGAAUGACAAACACAUCCACAGACGCCAGCAAAGCUCUCAGCAUCCACCCAAACCUCCACCUGGACCGGAGGAACACAAAUGGCAAAACGCUGUUCAUUGAGGACCGCUGGCAUCAGCACCAUCGUGGCCUCUAAGCUCGUCAGUGGGCUCAGAGACCUGGGACUUUCCUCCGCCCUCUGUGAUUGGACCAUGAGUGUCCUGACAGGCAAACCCAGGACUGUGCACAAUUUGUCUUCAAAGAAGUUUAUAUAAAACCAAAUACCGACUAGUACAAGUGUGAAGCUGUCCGCUGACAUGGAAUUAUGAAAGUAUGUCCCAAGCUUUAUUUAGCAAAUGCAAAAUACUUAUUUUAUCUUUCAACACUCAGGCAUUUAAUAUUGAUGCAAUAGCUGCUGCUGCAGAGAUCCUUCAAAGUGGGGAUGUAGACUGUCCCUCCCUUUUGUUGGGUGUUAUGGUGCUGUAGACUUGGUCUUUGUCCAUCAUCAAUGGGUGGAGUGAUUGGUAGACUUCAUUAGGACCUGCACCCUUAGGGAACAAGACAUGUUUCAUUAAUGUUAAUAAACUUGUCCCAAAUUAAGCUGAGUGAAAUAAAAUGCAUUUAAUAAAAUGUAGUUGACAUUGAAAAGUAAAACAUUGCAGCAACGUGUCAACAAAGCAAACAUAUGUGAAAGGUGGGACCGUAGGACCGGGGAGCCUCAGCACAGAGCGGGAGGCUUAAACUCAAGGAGAGCCUCUCCAUAUAAAAGGAGAUCCCGUGAGAGUUGAGCAACUCACGUUUGUUCUCGUUGUCCGGCAUGUGCUGAAGUCUGGGUUGCUCUGUUUUUUUGCUCGCCAGUACCGUGUGUGUGAGCAAACUACACUAAGCAGGUAGGUUGUAGAAUUUUAAUCUACAUCCUGUAUACCAUGGGGAAAUUAAUAUAAUGUUUUAUUUCCUAUGAUAGAAUGUCAGACCUGAACCAGACCUGCUGGUGCACAGGUGCCUUGGGCCGAGGAGGGAGGAGGUUGGGCUUGCCAGCACAUUAUGCAUUUUGUAAUGAGUAUGAUGGGUACUCGGUGAUUAGUGGCUGUUUUGUACAUUGCAGGCUGAACUGGUGACACUGAGUGGUGUAAUGGUAAAAAUAUGUUAUAACAUUGUUUUGUGCUAAAGCCGUGUCUGAAGUGUCCUGUAUUUGACCCUGAUGUGCAAAGAGCAGCAUGAUACAAAAUGUUAGUUUGCAGCUGUGCCCUGAGAAGGGAGGACGGUUGACUCGAUCUCAUAGAAGCUUCAAAACAAAGGACUCCUCUUAUUGGCCUUGGUUGAUAUCUUAUUCUGUACGAAAGUUCUGGAUCCAAGUUUUACUUUUAUGUCAAGUAAUAAUGAUUUGCAGCGGCCAUUAAGGAGUAUCUUGUGUGUGUGUGCUACCCUCAGCUUCACCUGGGUUCUUAUCUCAACCUGCUUUGCUGCUUCUCGUAACUGACACAGAGAAUGUCCUCCACAUGUGUAUAAAAACUCAGCGUCUUUAGUGCUCGGAGACGCCAUUUCCACAGAGCACUGUGAUACGUGCCUGUGUAUUUGACCUCCUGCUUGCAAGCAAUAAAUGGACUUUUUGCAACUUUGAUCAUUCAUCAAGACUCGGUUUUAUCAGACAAAUCAUUCUCUUCUACAGAGCUUUUAUUGAAAUAUUCCACAACAAUUUGGCGUCACGAACAGGAUUCACUGACCGUCCGUCAGGCUCCAGGGGACCGUCCGGGGAAAAAGGCCUUUUCCAGGAUCACCAGCUGAUGAUCCUGCCUCAUACCUCCUUAGACAAGAGAGAAAGGACCGGCGGAAACCAGAGGAGUCCUGAUUGACGUCACGUGUAUCCAGCGAAGAAGAAUUAAUUUCUACAAACUCGGGUAAGAAGUUGAAAUUCCGAUUAUAAAGUAACAGUAAGAGUUGAACAUAACGGAGACAGAUGACUGAUCAAGUGGUUGUUAUAGUCUGGGGAAUAAAAUUAUUUUUUAACAUUUUUUUUUUUUUUCCUUAUAAUAAUCUUUUAAUAUCUUUUUUGAGUACAUGAUUCCGGGAUAUUUCUAAUGCAUCAUUUUAUGCGAAGGUAGAUAGGAUCGUGUACGAUUUCACUCGGAACAAAUUCUCCGAGAUCGUAACAUCGCUAGACUACAAGUAGAAGACAGGAUUGCUUACGGUAAAGAUUUCACUCGGAACAAAUUCUCCGAGAUCGUAACGCAGAUAGCAAAUAAGACCGUUGCUAUUGACCACACGUGAAUUCCACCUGUGGAAUAAGAUCGUGGAAAUAGCCUACGUGAAUUUUAUGCUGAAGCAGGUAAAACGAUAUCACUGUUAUUGUUAACCAAACGUGAGUUCUACUGAAUUACCUUUAGAACAAGAUCGUGGCAAAAUCGAAGCGUGAGUUUUGAGUGGGGUUUUUCCUUGAGUAAAGAAACUAAGCCUUACGGUGACGACUGUAUUGUAAUAAGUAAACCGGUAGGGUCCACCAGUAAAAGAUGGGUGGCCAGUCCGCAAAACACACGGAACGUCGGGUCCGAUUGUGGCAAUGAUGCAGCAGAAAUACGGGAAAACAUGUACAGAGUGUCUCCCAUACUGGACAAAAGAGUUUGGGUUUCCAGAAAACGGCUCGUUGAGUGCCGCUAAACUUAAAAUGUUAAGAGGGGAUUUGGAAGAAAGGUUAAAAAAAAAUAAAAAUUGAAAAGUGGUAAAAAGAUCAAAGUUAAAGACUUGGAAAUAAAAGAGAAAAACCAGACAUGUCUGGCACAAUGGGAAAUGGAAUGUGAAUGCAGGGAGAGAAA
ensembl:lncRNA